rnacentral:rRNA from 1 species
AUGGCGGAUGCAAGGAACAAGUUCACUCAACCGGAUAAAGAUACACCUUUUGGACGACACUUGAAGGAAGUUACUAGGUACCUGAACAUCGUAAUACCAAGAUUCACCGGGACCUACAUCGCCACUUUAAUAGAAGAGGAGCGUUGGAUGAUUCGAGUUCAAGUUCCAGGAAGGACGUUCAUGCCAGUCACUGAGCCCAUAGAGUUUUCCUUUGAUGCACCAACCUGGAGUCUAGGAAAGAGCAUGGCAGCCCACAUCACCAUGGGACGCAUUGAAGAAGUUUACCACAAGGAUCUCAAGGAUACUAUCUACCAGAUUUGUGGGCGCCGAGAUGAGCAAUGGGAGAUGAUCAGCACCAGGAGGGAUAGGUCCAUUGCAGCUUGCAUCCAGGAAUUAAACCAGCACAUUCGACGCCAGGAGAAUCAGAUGUGCGCAGGCAUGAUAGAUCUAAAGAAGGAAAUGACCAGGAUCCUAGAGCUGGAGGAAGAACUCAAGUCUACACGUGAUGGAUACGAGGAGGAGAUGACGAUACUCGUGGAGAAGAAUGACGAUUUGAUGAGGAAGCUAGGAGUAUUCAUGAGAGACCCCACGCCAGGAGGAGAAGACGAUGAUUCCACUUGUCCGGAGAACUACAUCAUCAUCAACGACACUGACUCGGACCCUGAUGAUAGUGAUGAUGACUAUGUUGAUGAAGCUGGAGCAGAUAUCAUGGAGUCUUCCACCGAUUAA